rnacentral:rRNA from 1 species
GUAGGUGAACCUGCGGAAGGAUCAUUAUCGAGCGAAUCCAAAACGAACGAAAAAGUCUCCCAACGUGCAUACCUUCCAUUUGCAUGUUGUUGUGAGCCACAUGGAAACUCGUACACACGUGGUGGCAGCCGUCUGCUGUGCUUUUUUUAGGCAGACAAUGGCUUACGAGUGGCCGUGUGCUUGUUGAACAACGGUGACCAAUUUGGCGUCUACGCCGUAUCUAGCUUCUGCCUGGACCGUCAGUUGCGAUGAAAGAUGCGGAGAAAGUUCCUUUGUUUUGGCUGCUAAUCAUCAUUGAUGAGCAGCAGCUUAAGGCAGAGUCGAGCAGACUUAAUGAGCCACGCUAGGUGGCCGCCAAAACCCAAAACACAACCGGUCUAUUUGACAUUGUUAUUUCAUUGUAUGUGUUGAAAAUGUACAAAUCUUGGCGGUGGAUCACUCGGUUCGUGGAUCGAUGAAGAACGCAGCCAGCUGCGAUAAAUAGUGCGAAUUGCAGACACAUUGAGCACUAAGAAUUCGAACGCACAUUGCGCUAUCGGGUUCAUUCCCGAUGGCACGUCUGGCUGAGGGUCGAAUUACGGUGAACUGUCUUCACGGUUUUUCUGGACUGUGAAGCAUUCGGCAAGCAAUUGCUGUUGUGUUGUUGGUGAUUCUAUCAUGGACAAUAUGACGAGCGGUUCCUUGCUUAGUGAUGACAAAAGAAGACGUCAACACCGAAUCUACUAUACUACUAAUACUAGUAUAUAGGUGAGGUGCUUUUGGUGGUCACAAAAGUGACAAGUAUGCCAUUUCAUAGGGGCAACAACCAGCAUACGUGAUAAGUUGGCUGGUUGAUGAAACGGCAACGGAAUGACGGACGUCUAUGUGAUCAAAAAUGAUACUAUUUGACCUCAGCUCAGUCGUGAUUACCCGCUGAAUUUAAGCAUAUAAUUAAGCGGAGGAAAAGAAACUAAC